AUACUUACCUGGCAGGGUAGAUACCAGGAUCAUGAAGAUGGUUUUCUCAGGAUGAGGCUCAUUCAUUGCACACAGGGUGUGCUGACCACUGUGAUUUCUCCAAAUGCAGGAACUUGACUACAUAAUUUGUGGUAGUGGGGAACAGCAUUCAUGCUUUCCCCUG
rnacentral:snRNA from 1 species